rnacentral:lncRNA from 1 species
CCACACUCCAAAUAUGAACUGCAGUUCAGCUCUAGCAAAGCUGUGAGUCGGACAACCCUAGAAAUUUGAGCCCAGUUACGCUCCAGCACGUCCACAAUGACAAAUGCUUUGAUAGUGAAUCCUUAGCACUAACUUGCCAUCCGCCAAAGGUUUAACCCUAACUUUUGCCAAAUGUCUUUCCUAUUCAUACGUUAACCAGCGAGUCACAAUUCCAGAUCUGAGGAACAGGGAAACAAAGAUAAGUUCUUAAGGAGAAAUUACUGGAUACUUUGAAGAUGGCCAUUUUGAGGAAGCAAGGACCAUGUUCCAUAAUUACAAUUUUGUGCAAUGAUGAC